CGUCAGGCCUACAUUCACAUUCAUAACAUUUACAUUGUUUUUAGGCCUACCCAACAUCGCAGUUUUAAGCAUCGCAAUGGAAACAUCAACCAAGAUCCUCCUUUCUUCUCUGCUUUGUUUAUCGAUGAUAGCAGGAGUGUUGAGCAUAGACUGCUUUCGAUGCAUCCAUGAUCCCUCCCAGACGCAGGGUAUCUCCAUAUACUCAGCGGCGUCAGUCGGAAUGAAACCGAACGACCCGAACUGUGGCCACUACUUCAAUCCACGUUCGGCAGUGAGGACAACGUGUAAUGCUCUCACACAGGGGUGUCUGACCAUCAAAUAUUCCACUCAGUCCGGCAUGGCCUACAGUCGAGGAUGUACCAUCCUGUGUUUCAACAAGACUCAGACCGUCAGCGUUGGAGGCAAUAAAUAUGCAGGACACUACAACUGCUGCAAGCAUAGCUUGUGUAAUGCCAGCGUUCGCCAAUCGGCACCACUCGGACUGUCCUUGUUUUCGAUGAUCCUGUUUUUUUCGUUCAUUGUGGCUCGACUUUGAAUUUGAUAGAUAUUAAUCAUCUGAUAUUUGUGUAUCUAAUGUAGGCUGUAGUAUUUAUACAAGUGUUUGUGUUAGUAUUGUUGUAUCAUGAUAUAAUUAGAAUGAUCUAUUUGAUGCAGUUGUGGUACAGCCAAGUGUCAUCCCGCAGCCGCUAUCAGUCCUUCUUUCAUACGGGUUUUAAUGUAAGCUAUGAUUCAAUAUAAGCUUCCAUUCCGAGAUUCAGCAGUAUAUGUGUUGGGUUGCGGGGGUAUACUCACUGUCAGAGAAGCAUUCCAUGCUGGUGAAGAUAUCCUGCUACUUUUUUACGCUUGCUGAAAUAUUUGGAAUUUUUUUACAAGAGCCCGAUACACCGAAAAAGAAUUUGGACUUCAUUAAUAAAAGACAGUAAUUCUAGCUAUAUCAGGGAUUUAAUACAUGACAUCUUAACGUGUUUUCAGCUCUACAGCUUUUUCAAAGCAUGUAUAUACUACAUAUUCUGAGCUUACAGAAUUUUAUACUAUUACUAACAUGACGACUCAUACUCAUAAAGCAUGCAGUCCAUUUCGUCAUUCUGAUCCUGAUCCUCAGCACAGAUUUAUCCAGCCCCAAGCGUGUCCUUGAUAUAGUGACGUUCUGCUGUAAUAAGCAUAUUAGGUAAACAUAUUACUAUAGUACUUUUUACUAUUAACCUAUAAAUGUUAAGUGAGUACUUUUUAUAUUCCCGUUGCACAUGUUAUACAGAUAAUUACAAAAACAUAUGGGUGCAAAAAAGGAAUAACUGUCAUAAUAACUGGUGUCAAAACACUGGCAAAUUAAAGGCUACAAUUUCACAAAACCGUUUCCUAUUUACAGUAUGUUGAUGUUAUUAUUGUAUGUGUACCUCCUUCUUAGCCAAUAAAUCGUACAGUUAACGUUUGAA